GGUCGGGUGGCGCAAUGGUAGCGUGUGGUCCUCCUAUUACAGCAGGUUCCAGACUGAGGUUGUGGGUUCGAGUCCCAUCUCGAUCG